rnacentral:rRNA from 1 species
UGGGGAAUAUUGCACAAUGGAGGGAACUCUGAUGCAGCGACGCCGCGUGAACGAAGAAGGCUUUCGAGUCGUAAAGUUCUUUUAUAUGGGAAGAUAAUGACGGUACCAUAAGAAAAAGCCCCGGCUAACUACGUGCCAGCAGCCGCGGUAAUACGUAGGGGGCUAGCGUUGUCCGGAAUCACUGGGCGUAAAGGGUUCGCAGGCGGAAAUGCAAGUCAGGUGUAAAAGGCAGUAGCUUAACUACUGUAAGCAUUUGAAACUGCAUAUCUUGAGAAGAGUAGAGGUAAGUGGAAUUUUUAUUGUAGCGGUGAAAUGCGUAGAUAUUAAAAAGAAUACCGGUGGCGAAGGCGACUUACUGGGCUCAUUCUGACGCUGAGGAACGAAAGCGUGGGUAGCAAACAGG